GACGAACUGUGCAAACGUUAUUCGGAAUCACUGGGCUUGAAGAGUGCGUAGGCGGUUUCGUAAGUAGGGUGUGAAAGCCCCCGGCUUAACCGGGGAAUUGCGUCCUAAACUGCGAGGCUAGAGUGAGGUAGGGGUGUGUGGAACUUCCAGUGGAGCGGUGAAAUGUGUUGAUAUUGGAAGGAACGCCGGUGGCGAAAGCGACACACUGGGCCUUUUCUGACGCUGAGGCACGAAAGCCAGGGGAGCAAACGGG
rnacentral:rRNA from 1 species